CUACGGGGCGCUGCAGUGGGGGAUAUUGCACAAUGGAGGAAACUCUGAUGCAGCGACGCCGCGUGAGUGAUGAAGUAUUUCGGUAUGUAAAGCUCUAUCAGCAGGGAAGAAAGGCUCCGUAUGGAGAGAUGACGGUACCUGAGUAAGAAGCCCCGGCUAACUACGUGCCAGCAGCCGCGGUAAUACGUAGGGGGCGAGCGUUAUCCGGAUUUACUGGGUGUAAAGGGAGCGCAGACGGAUCUGCAAGUCUGAUGUGAAAGCCCGGGGCUCACCCCCGGGACUGCAUUGGAAACUGUAGAUCUGGAGUAUUGGAAGGGCAAGCGGAAUUCCUGGUGUAGCGGUGAAAUGCGUAGAUAUCAGGAGGAACACCGGUGGCGAAGGCGGCUUGCUGGACAAUAACUGACGUUGAGGCUCGAAAGCGUGGGGAGCAAACAGGAUUAGAUACCCUCGUAGUC
rnacentral:rRNA from 1 species